rnacentral:lncRNA from 1 species
CUUUUCAUUCCCGUUGUUAUGGAGGGCCACAUCUGCCAGAGCCUGGAGUCUGCGAAGGCCGGGACCCGGUUCCCCGGCCCACAGUGGGGGUGUGCAAACCCGAGAGAACUGGGUUGCAAAUUCGUGAAGAAUCAGCAUCAUGUUUGGCAGCUGAGUAUUGGAGCCAGGAGCCUGCCAUGAGGUUUUGAGAACAGAGUGCUGUUUUAGAGCUGGCAGCAGCAUCUCAGCCCAAGAGAAGGCAGAACCGGGUGGAACUGCAUGAGAAGCGACGGAGGCGCCAGCCCCAGCCAGCUCCCUGUGGCUCCUGGCACCAAUCAGGCCUCGAGGCUUCCUCAACACCAGCUUUCCUUCCCCUCCCAUUGGGCCCUGCAUCCCUGCCUUCUGCAACAUUGUGCUCCUGACCCUGGCUGGCUCCCAGCCCUCCACAGCUGGGCCCCACCUCAGAGCCUUUGCAUCAGGUAGCCCCAGAGUCAGAGAGAAGGCCCCCGACAAAGCCGCAGAUGGAGCUCAGCCCCAGGAAACACCUUUCCAGAGCAAGGCUCCAGCUCACUGUAGGACCACAGUCAAGUCUGUAUCCAGGCCGAGCGACAGGUGGGCUUGGGAACCAUCUCACUCCCGGCCUAGAUCCUACACCAAAAGGAAAAACUUCCCUCCCACACCCCUUCGUCCUGCUCUGGUUUCCUGACUGCCAGUGGGGAAGCACUUCUUUUGGAAGCCACUGGAAAUUGAGGGAUGAGACAGAAAAAAACCAAAGCAACAGAGAAGCGCUCAAGUGUGGAAAUGUCCCCAGCCGGCCCUCCCCUUCCCGCCAGGUCGGGCUGCAUAGCCCUGGGGGAGCCUAGACCUGGAGCUGCAGGAACAUGGCAGAACCUCCCAUCCAGGCAGGGCUGAGCUGCAGAUCUGGAGCCUGGAGAGCCAUGGAGCUUUCCCUUCCGAGCUCCCAGGGCCAGUAGGAAGAAGACAUGAGUGAAGGGGUGGGUGUCAAAGGACACUCAGCCUCAGAGGUGAAGACAUCUGGGAGUGGUGGGGACUGAGGCAAAGCGGACAGCCCCAUGCAGGGCCCCGGACGGCCUUCUAUGACACCUUUGUGCAAAUAAGAAAAAGUUCACCUCCAGGGAGACAAGGGCUUGCACCAGGGCUCAUGGCUUGGUGGGUAGAGAGAGGGCUGGAUUUGAACUUUCCCCUGCCUCCCCCUACCCCACUACCCCUCUGUACGCAUGCUUUCGUGCAAGGUACAACCUGUACAACUGUAUGUGGUGGCCUUGGCCCCAUAUAACAGGGAUGGCUACUUAGCUCCAGCCCUGCAGAAAUGAGGGCUUCAUGUUGCUGGAGCUUCCAGUUUUUCAAGGGCAGCUGAAUACAGGGAUCAUGUGAAAAA